AACGCGAAGAACCUUACCUGGGUUUGACAUGGAUCGGGAGUGCUCAGAGAUGGGUGUGCCUCUUUUGGGGUCGGUUCACAGGUGGUGCUUGGCUGUCGUCAGCUCGUGUCGUGAGAUGUUGGGUUAAGUCCCGCAACGAGCGCAACCCUUGUUCACUGUUGCCAGCACGUUAUAGUGGGGACUCAGUGGAGACCGCCGGGGUCAACUCGGAGGAAGGUGGGGAUGACGUCAAGUCAUCAUGCCCCUUAUGUCCAGGGCUUCACGCAUGCUACAAUGGCUGGUACAGAGAGUGGCGAGCCUGUGAGGGUGAGCGAAUCUCGGAAAGCCGGUCUCAGUUCGGAUUGGGGUCUGCAACUCGACCUCAUGAAGUCGGAGUCGCUAGUAAUCGCAGAUCAGCACG
rnacentral:rRNA from 1 species